rnacentral:rRNA from 1 species
GAUGAACGCUGGCGGCGUGCCUAAUACAUGCAAGUCGAGCGAACAGACGAGGAGCUUGCUCCUCUGACGUUAGCGGCGGACGGGUGAGUAACACGUGGAUAACCUACCUAUAAGACUGGGAUAACUUCGGGAAACCGGAGCUAAUACCGGAUAAUAUAUUGAACCGCAUGGUUCAAUAGUGAAAGACGGUUUUGCUGUCACUUAUAGAUGGAUCCGCGCCGCAUUAGCUAGUUGGUAAGGUAACGGCUUACCAAGGCGACGAUGCGUAGCCGACCUGAGAGGGUGAUCGGCCACACUGGAACUGAGACACGGUCCAGACUCCUACGGGAGGCAGCAGUAGGGAAUCUUCCGCAAUGGGCGAAAGCCUGACGGAGGAACGCCGCGUGAGUGAUGAAGGUCUUCGGAUCGUAAAACUCUGUUAUUAGGGAAGAACAAAUGUGUAAGUAACUAUGCACGUCUUGACGGUACCUAAUCAGAAAGCCACGGCUAACUACGUG